rnacentral:lncRNA from 1 species
AGGGAAUUGUCAACAAAGGGACGAGAGACGCGCAACUCCGCUCCGCACUGUGCGCCAGCAUCCCCGGGGCACGGAGGGCGCUGCGGCCCGCCCGGAGACCCCCCCACCCAGGCUGGAUCCGGGCCCUGGGGCCCAGGGAGCGGCUUUAAAGAGUAAGAGCAGCGCACCCGGCUCCCUCCUGCUAAUUAGAUUUCAGAUUCCCCUCUGGCCUCAGUGCUCAUUCCGGGGAAGACACCUGCUGAGAUGUCUUUUUCCCCCUCCCCCAACCAAACCACUCAGGUCCUACCUGCUCUUUCCCGGCUUGAUGCGGGCGUGUUUUCCUGUAUGUAUUUUUUCGUGCGGCCACAAAAAGCAUCAGCUGGGGUUCCCGAAGGUCAGAAAAUGGCUAUUGAUUAAUCUACUAGAAUAGUUGCCGAGAGAAAUAAAAACGACGUAAAAUAGCAGGGAACCUAUAAAUAAAGAAGCCAUAACUGGCUACUUGGAGUUGUUAAACGACUUAGCAUAUGAAAAAAUCGGAAAUGAGGCGCUGGGGAAGGAGCUGGGAUUGGCAGCGGCCUGGGUGUGGACAAAUCCUCCAAGAUUUAACUUCCAAGAAAACCGGCGGCGGAGCGGGUGGAGGAGGCGAGGAUGUGUGGCCAAUGCACGCGGAGUGCAAGGCCGCCUAGUUGGGAGCCGCAAGAGCCUGCCUGGUGUGGCAGGCACACGGAACCCAAUCCCUGUCUGUCCGCUGCGGCCUGGGAGGGGAGCGCCGGCCUCACCAGAGGAAGGAGCACGAGGGGAGGAGUUCCGAGAGGAAAUAAUUAGUGAAAUAUUUGCAGAAGAUGCUGGGAUGUGGAUUUAAUUCCGGAUGGACAGUGGUGCUUCUGAUUCCCUCAGUCUGUUUCCCCACCCACGAUCUCCUCUUUCCUUGGCCUAGACACACCAAAAAUAAUUCAAUAAAAUAAAAAUAAAAAUUUAAAAAUC